rnacentral:rRNA from 1 species
AACGCGAAGAACCUUACCUGGGCUCGAACGGCUUCGGACAAUCCUUAGAAAUAGGGACUUCCCGCAAGGGACUGGAGUCGAGGUGCUGCAUGGCUGUCGUCAGCUCGUGUCGUGAGAUGUUGGGUUAAGUCCCGCAACGAGCGCAACCCUUGUCCUGUGUUGGCAUGCCGCAAGGCGCAACUCGCAGGAGACCGCCAGCGAUAAGUUGGAGGAAGGUGGGGAUGACGUCAAGUCAUCAUGGCCUUUAUGUCCAGGGCCACACACGUGCUACAAUGGGCGGUACAAAGCGCUGCCAACCCGCGAGGGGGAGCUAAUCGCCAAAAACCGUCCUCAGUUCGGAUUGCAGGCUGCAACUCGCCUGCAUGAAGCUGGAAUCGCUAGUAAUGCUAUAUCAGAACGAUAGCGUGAAUACGUUCCCGGGCCUUGUA